AUACUUACCUGGAAGGAGAGAUACCUGGUCACAAAGGUGAUUUUCCUGGGGCAAGGCUCAUCCACUGCACCCUGGAUGUGCUCACUCUGUGAUUUCCCCAAAUGUGGGAAACUCAGCUGAUCAUAUUGUAUUGUAUCUUCAAGGACUUUGGUCAGUGUUAU
rnacentral:snRNA from 1 species